rnacentral:rRNA from 1 species
AACAAAAACAUGUCCUUUUGUUUAUUUAAAAGGUCUGGCCUGCCCAGUGAUAUAUAUUUAACGGCCGCGGUAUAUUGACCGUGAAAGGUAGCAUAAUCAUUAGUCUUUUAAUAGGGGGCUGGUAUGAAAGGUUAAACGAAACAUUGACUGUCUUAUUUAUAAGUAAUAUAAUUUAACUUUUAAGUCAAAAGGCUUAAAUUUUCUUGGAGGACGAGAAGACCCUAUAGAGCUUUACAUUAAAUUUUUUAAUUCUUUUUAGUUUAUAAUUUGGUUUUGAUUUAUUUAUUGUUUUGUUGGGGUGACAAUAAAAUAUAAUUAACUUUUUACAUAAUUUACAUUAAUCUAUGUAAGUUUGAUCCAAUAUUAUUGAUCAUUAGAUUAAGUUACCUUAGGGAUAACAGCGUAAUCUUUCUUGGGAGUUCAAAUUUACAGAAAGGCUUGCGACCUCGAUGUUGGAUUAAGAUAAUAAUUAGGUGCAGUAGCUUAAUAAAUAGGUCUGUUCGACCUUUAAAUUCUUACGUGAU